ACUAGAGUAGCACUCGCAUAUCAAUAAGCGGAGGAAAAGAAACUAACAAGGAUUCCCCUAGUAACGGCGAGUGAAGCGGGAAGAGCUCAAAUUUGAAAUCUUAAAGGGUUUCCCUUUACGAAUUGUAGUUUAAAGAAGUGUUUUCUGUUGAGGUUUUGGUAAAAGUUCUUUGGAAUAGGACAUCAUAGAGGGUGAGAAUCCCGUAUUUGACCUUUACUUUCAACUUUGUGAUACACUUUCAAAGAGUCGGAUUGUUUGGGAAUGCAGUCCAAAAUGGGUGGUAAAUUUCAUCUAAAGCUAAAUAUUGGCGAGAGACCGAUAGCGAACAAGUACCGUGAGGGAAAGAUGAAAAGAACUUUGAAAAGAGAGUUAAACAGUACGUGAAAUUGUCAAAAGGGAAGCGUUUGACACCAGUGUUGUUUUUCUGAAAAUCAAUUAAAGAACUGUUUAUGCUAAGCUGUUUAGACUUUAUCAGCUAUCUGUUUAGUUUUGAGCUUUUCUUUAAUGCACUUUUCAGUUAACAAGUCAACAUCAAUUUCUUUUGCUGUAAAAAAGCUUGAGGAAGGUGGCUUGAGAUUCGUCUUAAGUGUUUAUAGCCUCUUGCCUAUGCAGUCGGAGAGAUUGAGGUCUGCAGCGUAGAUCCUUCGGGGCUAAAUGCAUUUGUGCUAAGUUAUAGCAUUUUAUAGACAACUUGUUGACUAUGAUUUGUCUUGUAGCUUACUCGCUUAUGUUAUUUUACCUACGCUUAGGAUGUUGAGCGCAUGUCUCUCUCU
rnacentral:rRNA from 1 species